rnacentral:rRNA from 1 species
GACGAACCGUGCGAACGUUGUUCGGAAUCACUGGGCUUAAAGGGCGCGUAGGCGGGCUACCAAGUCCGGGGUGAAAUCCUCCAGCUUAACUGGAGAACUGCCUCGGAUACUGGUGGUCUCGAGGGUGAUAGGGGCGAGCGGAACUAAUGGUGGAGCGGUGAAAUGCGUUGAUAUCAUUAGGAACUCCGGUGGCGAAGGCGGCUCGCUGGAUCACUUCUGACGCUGAGGCGCGAAAGCCAGGGGAGCAAACGGG